AGAGUUUGAUCCUGGCUCAGGACGAACGCUGGCGGCGUGCCUAACACAUGCAAGUCGAGCGGAGACAGUGAGUAGCUUGCUAUGAGCUGUUUUAGCGGCGGACGGGUGAGUAACGCGUGAGCAACCUUUCCCAGACAGGGGAAUAACACACCGAAAGGUGUACUAAUACCGCAUAAGACCACGGGAUCACAUGGUUCUGAGGUAAAAGAUUUAUCGGUUUGGGGUGGGCUCGCGUCCGAUUAGGUAGUUGGUGAGGUAACGGCCCACCAAGCCGACGAUCGGUAGCCGACCUGAGAGGGUGAUCGGCCACAUUGGGACUGAGACACGGCCCAAACUCCUACGGGAGGCAGCAGUGGGGAAUAUUGCACAAUGGGGGAAACCCUGAUGCAGCGACGCCGCGUGAGCGAAGAAGUAUUUCGGUAUGUAAAGCUCUAUCAGCAGGGAAGAAAAUGACGGUACCUGACUAAGAAGCCCCGGCUAACUACGUGCCAGCAGCCGCGGUAAUACGUAGGGGGCAAGCGUUGUCCGGAAUAAUUGGGCGUAAAGGGCGCGUAGGCGGCUCGGUAAGUCUGGAGUGAAAGUCCUGCUUUUAAGGUGGGAAUUGCUUUGGAUACUGUCGGGCUUGAGUGCAGGAGAGGUUAGUGGAAUUCCCAGUGUAGCGGUGAAAUGCGUAGAGAUUGGGAGGAACACCAGUGGCGAAGGCGACUAACUGGACUGUAACUGACGCUGAGGCGCGAAAGUGUGGGGAGCAAACAGGAUUAGAUACCCUGGUAGUCCACACUGUAAACGAUGAAUGCUAGGUGUAGGGGGUAUCGACCCCUUCUGUGCCGCAGUCAACACAAUAAGCAUUCCGCCUGGGGAGUACGGCCGCAAGGUUGAAACUCAAAGGAAUUGACGGGGGCCCGCACAAGCAGUGGAGUAUGUGGUUUAAUUCGACGCAACGCGAAGAACCUUACCAAGUCUUGACAUCCCUUGACGAUGCUGGAAACAGUAUUUCUCUUCGGAGCAAGGAGACAGGUGGUGCAUGGUUGUCGUCAGCUCGUGUCGUGAGAUGUUGGGUUAAGU
rnacentral:rRNA from 1 species